rnacentral:misc_RNA from 1 species
CACAAAAAAGAAAUUAUCAGACGCAAAUUCAAGAAAAAUAAGACAAACCCUUUUCUUCCUCUCUCUGUGAAAGUUCCAAAAUCACAGGAUUUAAUGAAUUUGUGGCCGCUUGUGUUCCUCUCCUUUUUGGUCACCCACAAAUAAUAUUCAUACAUAAGCCAUUUAAAAAAAAAAAAAAAAUCCCGGAGCUCAAAAGUCUAGCCUUCGAAGCUUUUGAGGAUUUAUCGGAGAAAGCAACAAAUGCAUUUGAGCUUGACGAAGCUUCUCUCUUCUUCUUGAUUUCUUCAGUCUUAUUACUAUGCUUAUGCUGGACUCGAUCAGUUUUUCACAUGUUCCCAAGGGACAUGAUAUCAUCAAGCAAACAAGCCCAAUUAGGGGAAGGGCAUGCUCAAAUGAUAUAUCACAUCUUUAUGUACAUAGUUUUAGAACUUCACAUUCUUCAAAGCAGCAAAUGAAUUUGCCUUCACAUGGCUUAAGUUAUAGGACAAGUAGCUUCUUUCUUUCAGGAAAUGUCUCUGAAGACAGAAUUUUGUUGACAUCUUUAGUGUCUGGUUGGAGAGGAUUCUAUCUUCCCAAACACAAAAUAGGCCAUUUGGAAAGAUCUCGAAUUUAUGCAUCAGUAGAUGUUGCUACUGCUGUAGAUGUCAUCAAUGAUUUAGGAUUGGAUACUUUGACAUUCUUAGCAGUGACUGUGGUGGUUGUUCCUGUGUUCAAGAUCAUUAGAGCUAGCCCUGUACUUGGUUUCUUCUUUGCUGGGAUUGUGCUCAAUCAAUUUGGCUUCAUUAGAAAUCUCACAGAUGUGAAAGUUCUAUCUGAAUGGGGAAUCCUUUUUUUUGCUGUUCGAGAUGGGCUUGGAGCUUUCACUUGCACGUCUAAAAGCUCUAGCAAAAUUUGCCUUUGGCAUGGGAUUAACUCAGGUUGUAUUAUCCACUCUUGCUUUCACAGCAUUUGAACUUCCACCUAACGGAGCUAUUGGAACGAGAAUUUUGGAGUUCCUUUUCCACUCCAGGUCUGAUUUGGUCAACAUCAGAAGCAUUGAUGAGGCCAUUGUUAUUGGUGCUGCUCUUUCUCUGUCUUCUUCAGCUUUUGUUCUGCAGCUUCUUGCAGAGAAAGGUGAGCUUCCAACAAGACUUGGCUCAGCAACUCUUGGGAUUCUUCUUCUGCAGGACAUAGCAGUUGUUCCUCUCUUAGUCAUACUUCCUGUGUUAGAGAGCCAGAAUCUGGUUGAGGAAAGUAUCUGGCCAAUGCUUGCUAAAGAAAGUUUAAAGGCUUUAGGUGGAUUGGGAUUGCUUUCUCUUGGGGGAAAAUAUAUUCUAAGGCGAGUUUUUGAGGUUGUGGCAGAAGCAAGGAGCUCAGAAGCCUUUGUUGCUCUUUGUCUGUUAACAGUUACUGGGACUUCCCUUAUCACACAAAAGUUGGGCUUUAGUGAUACGCUUGGAGCAUUUUUAGCUGGGGCAUUGUUGGCAGAAACAAAUUUUCGGACACAGAUAGAAGCUGAUAUAAGGCCAUUUAGGGGGUUACUUCUUGGUUUAUUUUUUGUGACUACAGGGACUUCUAUUGACAUGCAGCUCCUGUUCCGAGAGUGGCCAAAUGUAAUUUCACUGUUGGCAGGUUUAAUCAUCAUCAAGACACUGAUAAUAAGUGCAAUAGGUCCCCGUGUUGGGCUUACUAUGCAAGAAAGUGUAAGAAUAGGAUUCCUACUAUCACAAGGAGGCGAGUUUGCAUUUGUAGUUUUCUCUCUGGCAAACAGGCUUGGUGUGCUGCCGCUUGAGCUUAACAAGCUGCUUAUAAUUGUAGUUGUUUUGUCAAUGGCAUUAACUCCAUUGCUUAAUGAAGCUGGAAGAAGAGCUGCCGAUUUUAUUGAUGAAAAAUCUGAGACAGAUAAAGCUACUGAGAUGGUGAACUUCGAUGCUAGUGAACCUGUUGUGAUCCUUGGAUUUGAACAAAUGGGUCAGGUCUUGGCCAAUUUCUUGUCUGUUCAGUUAGCUGCUGGAGUGGAUGGAGAAGUUGUAGGAUGGCCUUAUGUGGCUUUUGAUUUGAACCCUUCUGUAGUGAAGGCUUCUCGGAAACUUGGUUUUCCAAUUCUGUAUGGGGAUGGAUCACGUCCAGCUGUAUUGCAAACUGCUGGUAUCUCUUCUCCGAAGGCUUUCAUGAUCAUGUAUACAGGAAGGAAGAGGACAAUUGAUGCUGUUCAAAGGCUCCGACUUGCUUUUCCUGCAGUAACUCUCUCUCUCUUUCUAGUCUGUGCAUUUGCCCUUGUGUGUGACAAGUGCAAUAUGGUAUCACUUCCAUAAAUAUUCUGCAAGUAGAAUGCAUUUGUGAGCUAGUAGGAGGUAUAUUAGCCUUCCUCUCUACCAUUGUUAGAGGUUGCAAAUCUAUCAGAAGAAACAUAAGAAGCUUUAAUUUUGUUAUUUGAUUAGGACUUCUUUUCCCACGCCAGAAAUCUCAGGUCUUGGCCAUUCUGAUUGUCAUCUAAGAUGGGGCUAGGAUGCUACUUUUCUUAUUUAUUUAUUUUCCUUCCCUUUUCUAAUGUCUUGCUUCUGGUUGUAGUGCUAUUUUUUUGAGUAAUAUUCUACUUGGCAGGUCCCAAUUUAUGCCAGAGCUCAAGAUCUCAUGCAUCUUUUAGAUCUGAAGAAAGCAGGAGCAACUGAUGCUAUUCUAGAAAACGCAGAGACAAGUUUACAGCUAGGCUCUAAGCUUUUGAAGAGUCUUGGUGUCAUGUCUGAUGAUGUAGACUUUUUAAGUCAGCUUGUUCGAGACUCCAUGGAGUCGCAAGCUCAAGAAGCACUGAACAAAACUGAUGAUCGAGAAUUUGAUGUUAUGAAACCAUUGCAGGUAAGAGCGGCUGAUUCACUUGGGGCCCAGGCAUCCAUUCCGGCAACCUCACCUGAAGACAAACUAUUAGGAAGCAAGCAGACAGAUGGAAUUCAUGUCUUGCAGUCGCAGGGGAAAGCUAAUGAGCUCCAGCAAUCAGAGGAUCUGCAGGGCAAGGGUGUUUUGUACUGUGAACUAGGUACUGAGAAUGGCAUUAUGGUUAAUACUGCGGAUGAGGAAAAUAUGAUAACUGCUGAAUAACUGUGAGAAUGCAUAGACUUCAGUCUCCAUUCAUCUUCCUAAGAAGAUUUGCUCCUGCAGCUUCACUUAAGUUCAGCUAGUGCUUUAGAAAGUGACCAAUUUUGUUGCUGGGACUAACAUUAGGGAAAGGAUUAAGCUAAAUCUUUGAGAAAAGUUAGCUGGAACUCUAAUGCUCUAUACAAGUUUCCCAUUGUUUUGAAACUACCCCAUCCCCAUGCAUAUUGUUGAUAUUGAUAAAUUGAUUAGCAAUGAAAGAGGUGCCUUAUUUGAAAAGAAAGGAACUCUUGGUUUCUUGUAUAAGUUUGUCCUGAAAUUUUUGUUUAUUCUUAGGGCAAUAUACCACAUACUAGUUAAAACCUUCAAAUGCUUGAGAUAAUAUGGGAAAUUAUUGAAUGCA